AGCUCGGGGCAGGGUGGGCGCGAGAGAGCCUAGAAGCCCAUGUAGCCGCGAAUCCCGCAGCCCCAGUACACCUCCCUCCGUGCCUCCCCGCCUUUUCUGCAGAGCUCCGCCCUGGAGUGAAGGAGGAGCCGUCACCUGGAGCUCCGAAAAAAGCAGAAGAAGGCGCUUUUUAUUUAGCCAGUGUGACCCCGCCAGGGCCUUCUCGGUUGGAUAAAACUCUGCAAAGACAAUGUCUAGCACUUAUAUCUCCAGUAACUCCUGUCAAGGUUUAUUGUUGCUUGUUCAUCAUUGCAGUCCUGACUACAAGUGUGAUUGCACUUUCUAUUGUUUUGUCAGAAUUUCCUGAAAAGAUACAAAGGCCCUUCUGACCAUUGGAUUGGCCUUAGAAGAGAAUCAUCCCAUCGCAUUUGGAAAUGGACAGACAACAUGGAAUAUAAUAACAUGCUUGCUAUCAGAGGAAGUGGAGAAUGUGCCUUCCUGAAUGACAAUGGAGUCAACAGUGGCAGAAUCUACAUGAACAGAAAAUGGAUUUGUAGCAAGCCAAACAAUUAUGUCUACAGUUGCCA
rnacentral:lncRNA from 1 species